rnacentral:rRNA from 1 species
GACGAACCGUCCUAACGUUGGUCGGAAUCACUGGGCUUAAAGGGCGCGUAGGCGGCCCAUCAAGUCCGGGGUGAAAGCCUCCAGCUUAACUGGAGAAGUGCCUCGGAUACUGGUGGGCUCGAGGGAGGUAGGGGCAACUGGAACUUCCGGUGGAGCGGUGAAAUGCGUUGAUAUCGGAAGGAACGCCGGUGGCGAAAGCGAGUUGCUGGAUCGCUUCUGACGCUGAGGCGCGAAAGCUAGGGGAGCAACCGGG